rnacentral:rRNA from 1 species
ACGAGGGGGGCAAGCGUUGUUCGGAAUUAUUGGGCGUAAAGGGCGCGUAGGCGGCAAUUCAAGUCAUCUGUGAAAUCUCCGGGCUUAACUCGGAACGGUCAGAUGAUACUGCUUUGCUAGAGUGCGGAAGGGGCAAUCGGAAUUCUUGGUGUAGCGGUGAAAUGCGUAGAUAUCAAGAGGAACACCUGAGGUGAAGACGGGUUGCUGGGCCGACACUGACGCUGACAGCGCGAAAGCCAGGGGAGCAAACGGGA